ACACUAGAAUUCAAGGAAAUGUUACAGCGCAAUUGUAGUUUUCUGAUUUAAGAUAAAGAUUGUAAUUGCACAGUAACAAGUAUAAAUACAUAAGCAGUCAGAGUACGAUACAGUCUUUUUUUUAAAUACGGCACGUAAGAUGAAGUGGCUUAAUAUUCAAAUCUUUCUUCUUGUGGUGUUUUGCAUCAUGGCAUCUGUGAUGUCCAUAAAUUCUGAACCUUCUAUGGCUGGACAUCAUGAUGCAGGAGUAGGAGUUGCAUGUCGAGGGGGUGGUCGAAGACGACCACACGGACCACCACCAAAUGGUGGCGGAAAUGGAACAGACACCGGAAGUAACAAUGGCGGAACGGAUACAGAGGUUUGAGAAACUGGACUGGACUCUUCAGGUGUUGGGACAAUGACGAUUAAGGGCGAUAAGGUGUUAAGCAUAAAAAAAUUAAAUAAUCAGGAAACUAUAGAGUAUAAUUUAUAUUUUGUGUAAUUAUAUUUUUUUGUAAAAAUAAAGUGUCGUUAUAUAUACAUAUAGAAAGUA